rnacentral:rRNA from 1 species
GUCCAGACUCCUACGGGAGGCAGCAGUGGGGGAUAUUGCACAAUGGGGGAAACCCUGAUGCAGCGACGCCGCGUGGGUGAAGAAGUAUUUCGGUAUGUAAAGCCCUCUCAGCAGGGAAGAAAGAAGACGGUACCUGACUAAGAAGCCCCGGCUAACUACGUGCCAGCAGCCGCGGUAAUACGUAGGGGGCGAGCGUUAUCCGGAUUCACUGGGUGUAAAGGGGGCGUAGACGGCCGUGCAAGCCAGGAGUGAAAGCCCGGGGCCCAACCCCGGGACUGCUCUUGGAACUGUGCGGCUGGAGUGCGGGAGGGGCAGGCGGAAUUCCUGGUGUAGCGGUGAAAUGCGUAGAUAUUAGGAGGAACACCAGUGGCGAAGGCGGCUUACUGGACUGUAACUGACGUUGAGGCUCGAAAGCGUGGGGAGCAAACAGGAUUAGAUACCCGCGUAUAC